rnacentral:rRNA from 1 species
UACGAGGGGGGCAAGCGUUGUUCGGAAUUAUUGGGCGUAAAGAGCUCGUAGGCGGUUUGUCGCGUCGGCUGUGAAAACUCGGGGCUCAACCCCGAGCCUGCAGUCGAUACGGGCAAACUAAAGUGUGGUAGGGGAGACUGGAAUUCCUGGUGUAGCGGUGAAAUGCGCAGAUAUCAGGAGGAACACCGGCGGCGAAGGCGGGUCUCUGGGCCAUAACUGACGCUGAGGAGCGAAAGCGUGGGGAGCGAACAGG